GGCCCAAUGGUCUAGUAGCAUGAUUCCUGCUUCGGGUGCAGGAGGUCCCGGGUUCAACUCCCGGUUGGGCCC